rnacentral:rRNA from 1 species
UACAGGGGUCCCAAGCGUUGUUCGGAUUCACUGGGCGUAAAGAGUGCGUAGGCGGUCGGGUAAGUCUGAUGUGAAAUCUCACAGCUUAACUGUGAAACUGCAUUGGAUACUAUCCGGCUCGAGGAAUGGAGGGGAGACUGGAAUACUUGGUGUAGCAGUGAAAUGCGUAGAUAUCAAGUGGAACACCAGUGGCGAAGGCGAGUCUCUGGACAUUUCCUGACGCUGAGGCACGAAAGCCAGGGGAGCAAACGGG